UGCUAGGCUGGUCACUAGAGUAAGACAGGUCCAGGCAUCCUCUGGACCACUGCCAGCAGACCAAUGUGGGGUCAACCUUGUAGAUUACUGAGAGCCUCCCCAGCACCCUGCAGAGGCUGCAUAUUAAGGCUUCAAAACAUAAUACUAAAUAUGAAAGAGAGAAAAGAGGCUGCUGUUCAGAAUCCUGGAGAUGAAGCUGAAAAGAGCAACAAGUAAUAGAUGAUGACGAGAAGUUUCAAGAAAUGGAUGCCUUGUCUUGGGGGAGAGGUUACUGGAUGGAGAGGAAUGGAGACAAAAGAGCCAGAAAGCAGACAAUGAGAAGGAGUGCCAGUGGUCAGAGAAAAUGUACUAAGACACCUAGUGAGCUGAAACAAGAGUAUCCCAUCUCUGCCUUAUGUAGUCUCUAUAUAAUUGAUGGAACAGUCAUAUAAGAAAGGUGAUAUCUUCAAAACCAAAUAACAAACAUUGCUACUGUGAGGUGUGAGAGGGCUGAAGAGGAGUCCAGAGGAGGCUAUUGCAAGGUGUAGUUUAUAGCUGCUGUGACUUGAUGCCCGAGAGAAACGACUUAAAUGAGGAAAGAUGUCAUUUGGCUCACAAGUCUGCUACUUCAUCCCAUUUGCUCCAGAAAGAAAUUCGUGAUGGUGGGAACACAUGGAAGACAUGUAUAGAGAGCCCUUCCACAAGAACACGUGCUCAAGAUUUCCCUGAGAUGGGGCUCCAGAGACCCUGGGAAGGGAACUGAAGGUGUAUGCUGGAGAGCUGGGAGUAUAUGUGAGUCUGUGUGUGAAGCCCACAUAGUGGCUGCUAUUCUCAUUCUUUUACUCAAAAUCAGCUCAGACAUUUACUAAGCACUUUCCACAGAGCUAGGAAUACUCAAGGGAAAUGUUCUUUAUUUUUAAAAAUGUAAAGAAAACAUUUCAGAAAAUAAGCAUAC